UAAAAAUAAUAAUAUUGUAUUUAAAAAAAAACAAAUGCACGCUGUUGGUAAAAGAAUACGUAACUAAAAAGAAAAAAAUGUGAAUUUUCUUAAGCGAAUUGGAGUAUUUUUUUUAAAAUUUUUUUUAUUGAACUCUAUCUUAUUGACGGUUAAAUAGUUUUCCACCAUUAAUAUAACUUUUAAGUUUAAAAAUUCUAAACCACAAAUAACUGUUAUCAUAUUUAAAUGUAUUUAAUUAUCUUAUCCAUAUGUUCAAGCCAAUUAUUCACUUAAUUCACUCCUUACUUUCAAUUUCCUUUCAUAUUUUCUCAUGCAGUUUCAAUGACACCAAAGGCAUAGAAGAGUCAGCAGAAAAGUAGUCAUCAGCGGAGAAGAAGAUCACCAUAGCCAAGAAAGCUUUUUUGAGAAUAAAUUGAAGUGCGAAACUGAAGUUGUUUGCCUAUAUCAAAGCAGUGCCUUUAUAAGAUACUAAGAUACAACGUUUGCAUGACAAAAAGACAAUUGAUAGUGACUUUAUUUGGGAAAUAUCUAUCUCAAAAUACGAUGAAACGAAGGCUGGUGUUGCACAACUCAUUCUUGCUUGAAUUGAUUCAACGAUAUAGAAAGCAUAAUGGUUGAUAUGCAUUACUUAAUUACUUUGUUUAUAAUUGAUAAAUAGUUUGUUUAGCAGAUUCUUGAAAUUAAUGUCGGGAGGA